CAGUCGCCACGGUAAUACGAAGGGGGCUAGCGUUGUUCGGAAUUACUGGGCGUAAAGCGCACGUAGGCGGCUUUGUAAGUUAGAGGUGAAAGCCCGGAGCUCAACUCCGGAAUUGCCUUUAAGACUGCAGAGCUAGCAGGUGAGAGAGGUGAGUGGAAUUCCGAGUGUAGAGGUGAAAUUCGUGGAUAUUCGGAAGAACACCAGUGGCGAAGGCGGCUCACUGGCUCAUACUGGACGCUGAGGUGCGAAAGCGUGGGGAGCAAACAGGAUUAGAUACCCCCGUAGUCCCUGUCUCUUAUAC
rnacentral:rRNA from 1 species